AGAAACGUCAGUUGUGUUUUGUUUUGUUUAUCCUCGAGUUGUGUUGAUACAUCCAGAAAAUGGAUUUCUAAAAAAAAGCUUCCAAAUCCUUUGUAAUGCAAACAGUAGAAUGUACAUAUUUUCUGCAACCGCGAAGAAAAUGUAAAUACAACUUUAUUAGCCUAACUACCGAGUUGUUAAUUGAGUUGCACGGCACUACUUUCCGAUAUUGAUUUCUUCACAGAAGACGGUCGUAUUAACUCAGAUUCGAGACAGCAAUGAUUUGUGCUCGUCUGCUGCGGGAGAAUGCGAAGACAUUACUUCAAUAAUAAGGAAUCUGGGUACUUCGAUACACAAAACGAGCCCUGUCGAGUCCUAGUUCUACCUUUAUCCUGUUGGAUUUGAUCAAGGACAACUUCAUAAUCGGUAGUUCAAUCAAUUGGAUGUUUUCCGGAUUCGUCACGACGCAGGUUCCGUAUCCACUGACUCUGCGCGUUAAGUCAAUGUUGCAACGGGGCGUUGAGCUAGCCUCACUUAAUGCCGUCUGGGUUUCGUCAGCUUCGUGAUAUCUCCCGAAUUUGUUUGACUGAGAAGUAAUUAUACGCUGGUCCUGGGAGAAUUGAGUAGUCUGUCGUAGCUAUUUGUAGUAAUAAUUGUGUUUUUUUUUCCUAAUUUGUAGCCAUGGAUCAGACCCAAUCGAUACAGGAUCAGCUGUCGAUAGUUCAGAUAGUUUAAUAAAUAAUUUAGAUAGUUCAAUAAAUGAAUAAAGAUGCAUACAAAAGCUCAAUAAAAUCAUAACAAUAUAUGC